AGGUUCUGAUGCGGUUCGGCUGAUGAGUUCAGAAGCAGCUUCACACGGGCCUGUAGGACAAGCGAAGCUCAGCGUCGCUUCUGUCUGUGAGGAAUAGCGAUGGAGGGAUGAUCGGCACCGGCCCGGUGUUUGAUGAUGAACCGGAGCGACGGAGCGGCGGCGGCCGAGCGGGAUUUUGUUGUGGAUGGAGAGGAAAAUGUGUGCAGAGCUGCUGGUUACAUGACAGACUGUCUGAAUGAAGACACUGAUAAAGUUCCUCUUCAAACGCACCCACUGAGGGAAUUUGAGCAGGUGAGAUCUUCAGUCUAUGUCUGCAGUGGUUCAGCUCAUCUCAUGUAAAAUUAGAUCAAAUGAAACUGAUUCCAUCAUUGAUCUAAAACACAUCCAUCUGUUUCCAAACGGCCGCUGGAGUCGUUUCAGAGGAAGGAAGCGCUCUGGACAGAUGAGAUCCACAGCUGCUCUCUUGCGCCAUCAUCUGCUGUUUGCUGUAUUGCGUGUGACGUCACACAUGAUUGUGAAC